AAUGAACGCUGGCGGCGUGCCUAACACAUGCAAGUCGAACGAGAAAGCCUGGCUUGCCAGGCAAGUAAAGUGGCGCACGGGUGAGUAACGCGUGGAUAAUCUACCUUUGUCUGGGGGAUAACCUACCGAAAGGUGGGCUAAUACCGCAUAACGUGGUCGGAUUGUGAUUUGACCACCAAAGAUGGCCUCUCCAUGGAAGCUAUCGGGUGAAGAUGAGUCCGCGUCCCAUUAGCUAGUUGGUAAGGUAACGGCUUACCAAGGCGACGAUGGGUAGCUGGUCUGAGAGGAUGGCCAGCCACACUGGAACUGGAACACGGUCCAGACUCCUACGGGAGGCAG
rnacentral:rRNA from 1 species